rnacentral:rRNA from 1 species
GUCCACGCCCUAAACGAUGACGACUAGUUGUUGGAUGAGUUAAAUCCUUUAGUAACGCAGCUAACGCGCGAAGUCGUCCGCCUGGGGAGUACGGUCGCAAGAUUAAACUCAAAGGAAUUGACGGGGCCGCACAAGCGGUUGAUGAUGUGGUUUAAUUCGAUGCAACGCGAAAACCUUAACCUACCCUUGACAUGCUAGGAACUCUGCAGAGAUGCAGAGGUGCCCGAAAGGGAACCUAGACACAGGUGCUGCAUGGCUGUCGU